rnacentral:ncRNA from 2 species
AUUUCAUAAAACGGAUGUACUCAUAUAAUAGUGAGGAUAUGGCUCACGAGUUUCUACCGGAUUACCGUAAAUUUUCCGACUAUGGGUAUUGCUAAUGUUCGU